UACAUAGGGGGCAAGCGUUACCCGGAUUUAUUGGGUGUAAAGGGUGCGUAGACGGAGAAACAAGUUGGUUGUGAAAUCCCUCGGCUCAACUGAGGAACUGCAACCAAAACUAUUUCCCUUGAGUGUCGGAGAGGAAAGUGGAAUUCCUAGUGUAGCGGUGAAAUGCGUAGAUAUUAGGAGGAACACCGGUGGCGAAGGCGACUUUCUGGACGAUAACUGACGUUGAGGCACGAAAGUGUGGGGAGCAAACAGG
rnacentral:rRNA from 1 species